rnacentral:pre_miRNA from 1 species
AAAGUACUCCCUCUGUCCCAAAAUUCUUGUCUUAGAUUUGUCUAGAUACAGAUGUAUCAAGUCACAUUUUAGUAUUAGAUACAUCCGUAUCUAGACAAAUCUGAGACAAGAAAUUUGGGACAGAGGGAGUAGUUG